UUUUCAUGGAUAUCAGAACAUGUGUAAACACUGCCGUAACAACCGCUUUUCAAGGACCCCAUAAGAGAGUGUAAACAGCUUCUUCGUGUAACAUUAUGGGGACAUAUCUUUCCCAACCGGCUCAUGUUGUCCUAUUGCCGAAGAUUUCAGCAAUACAGGCCUCAUACGCAGCGCACAAACCUAGAGUCUGCGACCAUAGGUCGUUUUGUCCAUAUGUGCGCAAUCAAAACUGCCAUCUUUCAAGCUAUGUACAUGUAGGGCGGAAAGAUGUUAUAAUAGCAAUUUCCGCAAUCUGGUCAAAAUCGUUGCCGUUAGACCAACCACCUUCAGUCCAUACAUGUCGGCCGGUACACGUAGAAGCCGUGACGGUACGCAGGAUAGUAGGAAGUAGUGGUUGCUCUUAUAAAACCUUUUUUAAUUUGAGUUUUGAAGGAAUUGCUUGACCUCUGAGCCACUUAAAGGAAGUGACGUCACAGAUAGUGCGUCACACCAAUAUAUACAUACAGCAGCACUCUUUUCCGCAGAACCCCUUGCCCACGAUAUCACCAGAAAUAUUUUUUCGCUGCCAUACAUCUGGACCAGGUUAGCUUGUGUUGCACUUGAACUCCUCCGCCUGAAAUGUGUUGCUGGAUAUGCCCUUCGCUGCAAACGGCAUACCAUUGGAAUGCACUUACAACUAGUUAGUUACCGUGUCGAAGCUCGGGGGCUGACAUUUGGCUUACGUCGUUGCAACUUCGCCACGACUGCUCGUCUCACCGUUGCGCUUUUUGGUUGGCUUUGCCUUCAGGUUCUGAAGCAUACGGAGAGCUGCGGACUUCUCAUCCUUCGUGCGCAGGUGCUGGUGGGUUUGCCUGCUAUACCGGUUCUCGCAAUCAGGGUUUGCUAAACCUUUGCACUCGGCGAGGCCUGUCGAGCUAAAGACAUAAGCUUUUCAUCCUGAAACCGUGUUGCGCUGUCUUUAAGACCUGCAAGGCACUUAUGCCUGACAGCAGGAGCUAAGGUUCUCAUGGCUGACUCAUACACAAUGUUUGGACCACGCCAUUAACGUUGUAAGUACGCUCGUAGUGUGUAUAUUGAACAUGAUCGUUCUGUUUUUUCUUUCUCACGCUUCCUGACUGUAGGCCGACCGACUCUUCAUUCUAUCUCCCAAGCAUGGUUUGCCCCGUCUGCAUCACUACGGCAAUUGUGGCCAAUGCCCCCGCUAUCGCCGCCAGCUUAGGGGGCGUGGCGGCUGUUAAGCUGUGCAUCAACCGGAAUAGAGCGGCCCCGGCCCCUCAGCCUGUGGAACAGCGAGCGCGUUCCCAGGAGCGGCGGACAUCGGUUGAUCCGAUUAGAAUUAACCGCUACGACGAAGAGGAGUGGUAAUGGUGCACAUCCUGUAUAUAUGUACAAUACCCGCCAGAAACCGCCAUGUGGAAGGGCGGUGAAUUAUCAGUGCCUGUUGCAUUUUGGACUAUAUGGUCCAAAAUAGUACCAUAUAGUAAGGGCCCUCGUGCCUCCAUGCCGCACUGGCUGUGCUGGGAUCCGGUUCCCGGGUGUUCAGGUCCUUCAAACCACUGAUGUGUGUCGAAUGUUGUACAAUGCAGUUGAUUGGGGUAGGCUGUCAAGGCUAUUAGAGGCUUGUCGAUAGUAAUAGGUUUAAAAGUUCGCAGAGGCAAAUUGCUUCUGGCUUGUUUUCGUUUGAUGAGAAGCUCAUGAAGAUUAUGUGUUGAACGAAUUCAUCCGGUUUCCUUAGGAGCUACUUGAGUGCAUAUGCAAUUGGAAGGUUGGGGUGUUAACAGACAGCUGC
rnacentral:lncRNA from 1 species